CAGAUGGAUUGUGGGUGAAAAAGACUUCAAGUCUGAGUUCUUGAAGACUAAACUUCCAAGAAAGCGCUGAAUUCCACCAGGAUAAAAGAUUGCCCAAGAGGCAGGUGGCACAGAGUGACAAGCCUUCCCAUCAGAGCCCUAAUGGAUAUCCUGCCUACUAAUGUCUUAACUCCGGGUGAGCCUGCUCUAUAGCAAGAACUCCACCUCCUCCCCCCUGCAGUGGAAGACUUAAUGACUGUAGUCUCAUCUUACGUUCAGUCCUAUUUGGAUCUGCUUCUCCAGCCCCAUGAAGCUGAGCUGAUUUUGAGACACAUUGGCCUACAGAACGAAGCUUCUGGGAAGGAUAAAGGAGCUGUCCUUCGCCAGAGCCUGGAAGACCAUGGGCUAUCGAAGAAUUUAUGAAGUCAAAGAGGAAGGAAGCCAGCAAACAGAGCAGAGGCCUGACUCUGCAAGUUCUCCAGGGGUUCUUGGAUCGGGUCAGAGGUCAGUUGGUAAAAAACUUAAGCUCAGUGUGUGAGCGUGCUCUCUCUCUCCUCUCUCUCUCCCUCUCCCUCUCCCUCUCCC